rnacentral:lncRNA from 1 species
UAUUCCAAUUAUCCCACUGGGGCUUGCCCUAAACUCAUUAUGGCCUCUUUUCCCAUUACUGAUACUGUAAGUACUAUAGUAUACGAUACCACAGCAACUAUAAAAUACUAUACAGUGUUUUCUAUUUUAGUAUAGUUUUACUUUUCACUUCCUUUAUUACAUACAAGGUUGAGAAUACUUGCAUAUGGGUACAAUAAAUAUUGCAAUAUUAAUUAUAAUAUCUGGAUCUUCCGGCCCAAGCAGCCAGGCUAUUGCAUCACAACUUGGUCCUCCUGCAGAGUGCUUUCCUUUUCUGAGUUCUAAUCAAAGAUGACACCUGGGGCAAUUUUCUUUCAUGGUAGAAUAUGCUGUAUGCAUAAAGGAAGAGUCUAGCAGGCAUUAUGUGUCCUUUGCAGUGGGAGAUAAAAGAUGUGAUAAGAUUUGUCCUUCACUGUAGAUAUUAGGAUAUUCUAGAAUGCUUGUGACCAUAGGUCCCUAGAAAUAGUACUGACAUAACAAGCCAAUGAAAUUUCAUAAGGUUUUAUCCCACUCUCUGAAGGGUAUGUAUCUUACCAAUGCCUCCAAAAUGGUUACCUCUUGUUCAUUUCAUUUGAGUAAUCAAUAUAGUGAGUCAUCGUGUUGUUCUGUGAGAUGUCCAGAGAGUCCAAGCUUCUUCAGCAUAAUAUAUUGUGAAGGAAAGUGAGAGAAUAUACUGUGAAGGAGAGUGAGAAGCCUUGGGGGGGAGAAGUUGUGAAUGUUUAUUGUUGUCCAUCUCACAUGAAUGCAAAAUAUUUCUUAUUCUUUUUUCAUAUGGGGAAAGAAAUAUUAUUCACUAAGUUAAAGUCAGCAUAUCACAACAUCUGAGGCUGGGUUUGCUCGAUCAAAGAUUGUACAUCUGGCCUGGGGGCUACAACCUGGGCCACUACUUGACUGAAUUUGUGACACCAAUUGAGUCUACUAUGUUCUCCAGGAUCCAUCUAGGUUUUAACCAAAGCUGGAUUAAUAAAUUAAAUGGCAAUAGGAUGAGUGUUUCCUCACCUGUACCCUUUAUGGGUGGCAUAAUUUCUGCCCUUCCCCCUAGGAUAACUUACUGUCUUUAUUUUUCUUUCUUGACUUAAAGGGAAAAGAUGGGAGGCAAGAGUCAUUCACUUGGACUUUGCUGCUACAAUAACUUUUAUUCCACAGAUCAAUGACUUUAUCUGGACCUUAGCCCAGGAGCCCCAAUGCACUCUACCUACAGACUCUAAUAAAGAUAUGUCGCAAGUUCUCUCUCUUUCUCUGCCUGCACACUGCAUUGACCUCCCUAUGUGGCCCCUCAAGAUAUGCACAUACUUCCUCCAGGACCUUCCUUCAGUAAUAAACUUCUCUAUUUAGAUUCCUCUUGUGGUCUGUUUCUGAACUGCAGUUCACAAUCUAGCACUCUGUGUUCCACUUAAUAAUUGUUAAUUUGAUAAAUGCGUAACACUGGCCAAUGUUAUUUUUUUCCAUUCUCUGACUAUAUAAUGGAAAUAGACUUACUUGGUAGUUGGCCAACUACAUACCAUCAAGUGACCUUGGCCUAUGACACGGGGAGCAGAACAAUCAGCCAUCUGAGAAUUACUCAAAUUCUAGACCCACAAUUUCACAUAAUAACAUGAUUGUUGUUAUAAAGCCAUUGAUUUUGAAGGUAGUUUUUAAUAUAGCAAUAGAUAGGUUGUGUACCAUAUCUGUGUCAGCCAUGGAACUCACUGAUAUUCUUUGCAUUAUAGAUAGCCGCUAAGUAUUUGCUUAUUAUUUAUUUCAGCUAGAAUUUAUUAAGGAUAGACUAUGUGCCAGGGACAAUAUUUUGCACAUCUUGUCUCAUUCAACCCUGACAACAUAAGCUACAAAACAGUGCCAAUCAAUUACUAAUUGUCUCUGAGCAAUAAAUACACCUUCUACCCUCUGUUCUGGAUGCUAGGUAUCAGCCACAAUUUCAGACUCAUCUUCCAAGUAAAUUCUAGUUAUAUUCUGCCAUUAAGAGGUACCAGAGAAAGACUGCAAGGUGGGAGAAGGAAAGGAUGUCUUUGUUUUUCUACUCGUGUCAGCUUCAGCUUAGCAAUGGCACUUGUUUCCAGUCUCAAGCAUUUGAAUUUCAGCACUUUCAGAAUCAGUCUUAACACACUCUCUCAGAAGUCCUAGAGGAAGCAGUCAUCCUGAGCCAUCUCAGCGUUCUGAGUACCAGUCCUGUGGGACUCUCCUUUACAUUUCUGAGGUACAUUUUCCAAAUUUGCUUCAGGCCACGCAAUAACAAAAGAAAUGAUGAUUUACAUAUAAAGUUGUUUUUCUUUUUUUCCCAGUAUGAUCUCCUACUCUCCAAAUAAACUUUUUCCUUUAUUAAUAGCUACCCUUUAGGUUUAUUUUUUAAUAUUUUAUCAAAAAUUAUCCACUUAGAUAUGAUUUAAUGAAAAAUACAUAGUAUAGCAUUUUGUGUUUUUAACUUAAAUGUCCCCUGAAUCCAUAAUUUUCUUCAACAUCAUUUUUUAAACUAUCAUUGUGAAUAUAUACACAUUUAACUCAUUUCUUUUAUCUGUUAUAUAGAAUUCUAUUAUAUGAAUAUACUGCUAUUCAUUCAUUCUGUUAUUGCUCUUUUUAGGUGGUUUUUACUCUAGAAAGCCCUUCUAUAACUUGAUUGAAGAAAAGUAAUUCACUUUUUUUGAGACCUAAGUGAGCUUUAAUUGGAAAAUAUACUUUACUUUUGUCAUUUGCUAUGCAAUCAUUUUCCAGAAAUGUUAAAAAUGUGUCAUAACCAAGAACUUAUAAAAUGUUAAGCUUUCACUAAAGCAAGACAUAUGCUCCCCUAAAAAAAGAUCCAUCUAAAUAAUGCCCUCAGACCUUUGUAGCACCUUACAGUUAUUAGCUCACUUAUAGCAAGGAAAGUGUUUUUCAAAAAAUAGAAAAUUUCAUCCCUGAAACAGACGUGAUCAACUGAUUGCUUACAGAGUAUUUUAUAGAUUUAACAACACUUUACAUACAGUCCAAAAGUAUGACAGAAAUUGAAAUCUUUAAAAAAAUAAUUUUAAAAGAUUCCAUUAAAAGAGACAACUAUUAAACAAAAUCUUACUUCUAUCAACUGCAGGAUCUACUUAACUGACCACAGCACUAUUCCCACAGAGCUUAAAAAAGGCUUUGUAGAUCUUUAGCAUAGCAAAUUUAUCUUAAAAUCAAUCAUUCAAACUAGGACAUUUUGAGAGUGAAAGAGAGCACAUUAAUAACUGCACCAAGAAAAUGCAAAUAUUUUGUUCUUGGGUUUCAGC